AACUAUUCUUAAUUGCUACAUUACAAACUUGAUCGAGGGCUACACAACUUUAGCCAUUACUUGCUUUCCGGAGGCAACACUUCAAGAUCAGAUGUAAAUGGAGCCGUUUCUAUGCCGAAGACGACUCGAGCUCUCUGAACCACGGACCUACAAGUUAAAACAUAGUGAAAGAAGGAUGUCCUCUCUUGUGUGUUCCCCUGAUGGCACAUAUGUAGUAGACGCAUUUAAAGAUGUAGUGGAUGGUGGCGCUGGUUGUUGAACCUCAUGGGUUUUGACAAAGGGGCUAGCUGAUUCUGUGGGAUCACAAAUUACUGUUAUUAGGGUGUCAAACCAUUCCAUCAUUUCUUCCUGUUGCUAUGCAAUACACUAGCCAUGAGAUGAUUUAUGAUUGGCUGUUAGGCUGGCUCUGUGGGACAAGGCCUUAUGGCAUGGAGUGCCACAUAAACAGACUACACUUAUUUUUGGUGGCAGUGGUGUCUUUGACAAAGGUUCUGAAGAUGGUGCCCUAGGUGGUGUUGAUGGCACUGGAGACAAUAGUGAUAGUGUCAAUUGUGGAAAAGACAUUGGUGAUGUUGGUGUCGGUUAAAGUAGCGGCAAAACAGGUUUUAGAGGAGCAUAAUGAGAAAGACUUUAUUCACCUGAGGCCAAGGGUCCCCUUCCAUUAAGGGCCUUAGGAUCAUCCCCAUUAAUAAGAAGAGGUAUGUUGUACUAAU